ACUACAGGUGGGCUGGGAGGGGAAGAGUAAGCUGGCUACUCUUGGUACUGAGGAGGAUGGAGUGGGGUACCCACGGUCAGUCUGCUACAGCAGCACCACAUCCUCCAUCAUUGUGGGACAGUGGGGGGACAACAUCCGGGUGUUCAGAGUGGAAUAGUGUGAACAUUCGCUGCUGAGUCAACGAUGCUGAGGAUGUGGUGGACAAGGAUGACCUGAAUACGCAGAAGCAACUGCUAAGCACAGAAGACAUAGGAGUAGUGAAAGGCUCAGCCAAAUCAAAGUCCAGCGAUGUGAGGGUGACACAGCCUUUCAAGUCCUCGUAUUGCAACAUGAAGGACAUUUAAGCUGAAACUAACAAGGGAGAGAACUGUAGAUCUGCACCAGCACAGAGCACCAGCAUUGAUAUCAAGUUGGCCCAGCAACCACACCAGUCCCGCCUGCAGAAGCCCCAGUCCAGAUUGACCCUCCCCCUCCAUUGACUUCUAACUCCUCCCCCUUGACCUCCUGCCUCAAAAAGUCAGCAUCGUUGAACAACUCUGUUCUGCAGGAAAUUCUUAGGGUGAUUCUGUUCUGACAAACGCAAUGCCCACGUCACGUUUUCCAAACAUAAGCCUGGGUAGUUUUGUUAAGCUAGAGUUCCGCGUGGGCCUGAAAGGGACGAGUGUUACAGACACGAAAAGUUAUAGCAGUAGUUAUGGUAACGCUAACAUUCAGUUGUUGCUGUUGGACAUCACAACAAAUAUCAUGAAGAAUAAAAAGUUCAAUCACUUGUUCCAAUCUUUAUGGGACAAACAGAAAUUGAACAGGAGAGAAUCAAGGAACAAUAAAAGCGUGAGCUUUCCUAGUGGCAUACGUCUGCUGUUGAUAGUUUGGACAACAGUAGGGUUACGGACUGCCCCAGAUUGUCCGCUCAGCGGCCAAAAUAUCAUAAUAGAACAGACUUUUGGCAAUGUUACUGACAAAAAAAGGCAAAAAUGACUUGGUUGUGAACACCAAGAGCGCGAUACAUCCAUGCUGACACAG